UGUGUCCAAACCAAUUCUGCUGCUCCUGCCAUCCCUCCUGCGACGCCUGUGGCAUGCCAGACUGCUGAGAUUCAAAGUACCAGAUGGAGAUAUGCUCCUGACAUGGAUGGAAAGGAGACCAGUGGUGCUGAGAUCCCCCUUCCUCCACUGCAGAGCCUCCUCUGGAUGUCCCAACAAGAUGAGAACACUCUCCGUGGGUGGUCAAACCACUCACAGGACUCACCGGUACACCUGGCCUUGAACACACACUGAUCUCCUAAUAGGGCUCUGAGGAUACACCUUGCUGGCAGUGAAGCCAGAUCAUCUCUUUCUAACCAGUCUUCAGUGUCUGGCUUAUGAGCCAGAAAUUUUCGCAAAGAAGACUGGCUCUUAGCCAUCUCUCUGGGCACUGAGCACACCCCAUACAAGCAGCUAGGUUGUUCCCUAAGCCCAGGCCUGACCCUGGAGCAGGGAUUCCAUCUGUGUUCAGGUUCAGGGCACAGGUCUCCACAGGCUUAAGACAAAACCACUGCAUCCUGCAGUUUCCAGUACUCUCCACUGUUCUGGUCUACAAAGUAAGAACCUGAGGCAUCCUCCACAGGGAGGUACCACCUCCCUACUGCAGAAGCUCAUGCACAGCUCUCAGAAGUGGAAGUGGCAGAGCUGCAGCACCACACCCAGCAACCCAGACUGUGAGGUGUCCUCACUGCCAUGGCUCCUGCUUUGCUCUUGUCAGUCUCUGAAGGCCCAGCAUCCUCUGCCCCUGAGAUGGCCAAGCCUGUGACCUACUAAAAAGCAAGGUCCAGCAGAUCUUCCAUUCAGCUUCUUGUGUCUUCUAUUGUAUUUUCCAGUGAUGUGUAAUGAGUACUUAUUGCUUAUGCAAUCAAGGAGCAAGCAAUCAGUCAUCACAAAAACCAAGGUUGUUUUUAAAGACUACACACUCUUGGAAACAAUUUCUGAUUUUCUCAGAAAACACACCCAGAAUAUUUUGUAGGGGACAGCCCCGUGGAUUGGCAGCCCCUAGCAUCCACUGAGGAGGGCAGAGGGAGUCAUCAGACAGCCAAGAACUGGAGCUGGAGGCCAGUUCUCACUCCAACAUUGUGUCCAGUUGGAGACAUUGUGACUAAAACAGCAGAAAUACUAAUCAUUCAGUCCUGCUAUGUGAAGCAUGACCUUUGAAGAAAGCCAAAGAGAUGAAGGCAUUUUUUGCUAUAGCAACAACAAGAAGCAUGUAUUGAAGUUUACGAUGAACCAGGCAGUCUACCAAAAUAUCAUGCUAUUGAAGAUAAUGUUCAGUCUGUGCAAUAGGUAAAAUUCUCCUUAGAUACUAAAAGACAGAACCAGUAUGCAAACAUCAGCCUGACAGAUUGCAGAGUCUGUGCUUUUAAACAGUAUGACAUAUUGCCUCUCAUUUAUGCAACAAAGGGCUAAACCAGUUUGAAACUCCAAUACAUUCAUGCACACACACACAUACACACACAGAUUUACCUGUUCACUAGAUCACUAGAUGAAUCUAUGACCCAUGAUAGAUACAUAGAUACAUAGACAAGUAUGUAGGGAACCGCUUCGAGAGACGUGGAAAUGUAGCUCAGCACCCACAUGGAAAACCAGUGGGGUAUGAGUUAGCACGCAGGACCACGCCUGUGAAGAAGUUCUCCUGUGGGAAAUCGGCCUGCUUUAUACUUAGGCUGCUUUGUGACAUGCUGUUUCUAAAACUCCCUCAC